rnacentral:hammerhead_ribozyme from 1 species
GCACUGAUGGGGAGUCCCACAAUAGGAUGAAACGGCCGUCCAGUGC